AGCGAACGCUGGCGGCAGGCUUAACACAUGCAAGUCGAGCGGGCGUAGCAAUACGUCAGCGGCAGACGGGUGAGUAACGCGUGGGAACAUACCUUUUGGUUCGGAACAACACAGGGAAACUUGUGCUAAUACCGGAUAAGCCCUUACGGGGAAAGAUUUAUCGCCGAAAGAUUGGCCCGCGUCUGAUUAGCUAGUUGGUGAGGUAAUGGCUCACCAAGGCGACGAUCAGUAGCUGGUCUGAGAGGAUGAUCAGCCACAUUGGGGCUGAGACACGGCCCAAACUCCUACGGGAGGCAGCAGUGGGGAAUAUUGGACAAUGGGCGCAAGCCUGAUCCAGCCAUGCCGCGUGAGUGAUGAAGGCCCUAGGGUUGUAAAGCUCUUUUGUGCGGGAAGAUAAUGACGUACCGCAAGAUAGUC
rnacentral:rRNA from 1 species